CCAAGGACAGUGGGACAGCUCCAUGGGAAGGUCCAAGUAGGCAUGUUUUUUUUUGUUGUUGCGAAUUUGACUACUUUUUCAUCCCUUGCACAAGCGAGUUCAGUUUGCGAAAACAAUUUGAAUUAAAGAUAUUAUCAAUUUUUGAUAAUGCCGUUUUCUACUCCGAAUGCUUGCUAUGGAAGAGAUUAUGAAGAUUUGUUGAACGUUUUGGAACACGAAUGAGGAAACGAAGACGCGUUUGUUGAAAACGCUACACCUGUUGACCCUUGGAGGACGCUAUAAUUUGUAAACAAUUGAAUUGAAAGACGUUGCCGUUGGAAGGUUCCAUGGCGUGUAUGGUGCAUGACUUCUUCAGCAGGACUAGAAUGGCACGGAGGAAAAGUGCACCGAUAGGCAAAACACAGAUAACAGGUGCUGGAGGGCAACACGAGCAAAACGAUCGCCCAAAAGCUCAUCAACUUAAUGAGUUAAUUCAUUGGCGGGUUGAUCGUUAGCCUACAAUCAACGGUUUAGCGGUUUGCUACCGUUUCAGCACAUGCCCUGGCAGAAGAUUAGCGGCCCAUUACACGAACAGGCCCGCACAAACACAAACACCAUGUACCGUGUGGAGCUUUCUCGCGUUGUAACAACGUUCGCGAUGGGAAUGUUAAUGGAUAAGCAGGUUAAGGUGGGGAGGAGUCGUGCAAGUAUAAACAUCUUAGAUGAGGCAUCUGAUGCGUGAUGAUAAAAGAAAGUGAGAGUGUUUAAAAGCUGUUUGGUAUUAUUACUGUUAAAGAGGCACGCUAACAACUUCGAUGAUCUUAAAUAAAGAAUCGAAUAUUUUUUUAAAUCA